rnacentral:lncRNA from 1 species
CAAUCUUCCUCUAAAUUAAUUCUCAAUCUUUCUUUCCCAGUUUCCUCUCGAUGCAUGUUGUGGACUUGAGUCAAUAGACUCCCAAAGAAGUCGUCUAAGUCAGUUGAUAGUCGUGAUGGAAGCGGAACAUCUACCUCUUCAUCAAAUGCUUCUACAAGCUUAAGAAACAGUGAUCUAGUCAGUAAAGCAAGAAUAGGCUGACAUCAUCAUUUUUUGGAUUUGUUACAUGAAUUAAUUCAGUGAGGGGGGCUACAGCAUACUUCGAGCUAACAGAGCUAACACCUCACUCCUCUACUAGCUAUUCUAUUUCUUUAUCUUGCUGAAGUGUUUGGGAGCAUCAGUAGAGUAUGGCUCCCUGUAUCGUGUCUUUCUGGCAGUUUUGAUCAAGAAAUUGAACCGAAACAGAUCUUCUUCGCUUUGCUAAAUGAAUAAGUCGGUUAGGUUAAAACUGGAUUUAACUGAACCGAACCGGUUCGGUUUGAACCGGUUUUUGGUCCGGUUCGGUUAAUAUGUAAUUUGGUUCGGUUGGUUUUUUGAGUCUAAACCGAACCGAACUGUGAACACCCCUAUCCGGGCCAACUCCGUCAACUUGAUGACCCAUCAAUCCGAGGUCUAGCUUAACUCGAGUCAAGUUUAUUUUUGUUUUUGAAUUGUCUAAAGAGUUAAUCUGAUCAAACCCAGAUGAGAAGUUUAUUUUUUCUAUUCAAAACAAUAUUAUUU